rnacentral:rRNA from 1 species
AUUGAACGCUGGCGGCAUGCCUUACACAUGCAAGUCGAACGGCAGCACGGGAGCAAUCCUGGUGGCGAGUGGCGAACGGGUGAGUAAUAUAUCGGAACGUGCCCAAUCGUGGGGGAUAACGUAGCGAAAGCUACGCUAAUACCGCAUACGAUCUACGGAUGAAAGCGGGGGAUCGCAAGACCUCGCGCGAUUGGAGCGGCCGAUAUCAGAUUAGCUAGUUGGUGGGGUAAAGGCCCACCAAGGCGACGAUCUGUAGCUGGUCUGAGAGGACGACCAGCCACGCGGGAACUGAGACACGGUCCAGACUCCUACGGGAGGCAGCAGGGGGGAAUUUUGGAAAAUGGGCGCAAGCCUGAUCAAGAAAUGCCACGUGCAGGAUGAAGGCCUUCGGGUUGUAAACUGCUUUUGUACGGAGCGAAACGGUUUCCACUAAUACUGGGGGCUAAUGACGGUACCGUAAGAAUAAGCCCCGGCUAACCACGUGCCAGCCGCCGCGGUAA